rnacentral:rRNA from 1 species
GUACACUCCUACGGGAGGCAGCAGUGGGGAAUUUUGGACAAUGGGCGAAAGCCUGAUCCAGCCAUGCCGCGUGCAGGAUGAAGGCCUUCGGGUUGUAAACUGCUUUUGUACGGAACGAAACGGCCUUUUCUAAUAAAGAGGGCUAAUGACGGUACCGUAAGAAUAAGCACCGGCUAACUACGUGCCAGCAGCCGCGGUAAUACGUAGGGUGCAAGCGUUAAUCGGAAUUACUGGGCGUAAAGCGUGCGCAGGCGGUUAUGUAAGACAGUUGUGAAAUCCCCGGGCUCAACCUGGGAACUGCAUCUGUGACUGCAUAGCUAGAGUACGGUAGAGGGGGAUGGAAUUCCGCGUGUAGCAGUGAAAUGCGUAGAUAUGCGGAGGAACACCGAUGGCGAAGGCAAUCCCCUGGACCUGUACUGACGCUCAUGCACGAAAGCGUGGGGAGCAAACAGGAUUAGAAACCCUUGUAGUCC